rnacentral:tRNA from 1 species
GGUGUGGUGGUGCGGUGGUUAUUGCAUGCUAACCCGAGCUGGAGAUUGAGAGUUCGAUUCCCACCGACGCCU